rnacentral:rRNA from 1 species
UACGUAGGGUGCGAGCGUUAAUCGGAAUUACUGGGCGUAAAGCGUGCGCAGGCGGUUUUGUAAGCCAGAUGUGAAAUCCCCGGGCUCAACCUGGGAAUGGCAUUUGGGACUGCAAGGCUUGAGUGCGGCAGAGGAGACUGGAAUUCCUGGUGUAGCAGUGAAAUGCGUAGAUAUCAGGAGGAACACCGAUGGCGAAGGCAGGUCUCUGGGCUGACACUGACGCUCAUGCACGAAAGCGUGGGGAGCAAACAGG